AUGAAAAUCCGGAGGACCGAGUACCGUUUACGCGCAGUCUCCAAGGUGAAUAGCCUCUGGCCAAUGGAACAAUGUAGGCAAGGGAAGUCGGCAAAAUGGAUCCGUAACUUCGAGAAAAGGAUUGGCUCUGAGGAUUGGGCUCAGGGGUCCUGGCCCCGAACCCGUCGGCUGUCGGCGGAUUGCUCGAGCUGCUCACGCGGCGAGAGCGGGUCGCCGCGUGCCGGCCGGGGGACGGACCGGGAAUCGCCCCUUCGGGGGCUUUCCCCGAGCAUGAAACAGUCGACUCAGAACUAG
rnacentral:rRNA from 1 species